rnacentral:rRNA from 1 species
AUUGAACGCUGGCGGCAGGCUUAACACAUGCAAGUCGAGCGGGGUGAUGGUGCUUGCACUAUCACUUAGCGGCGGACGGGUGAGUAAUGCUUAGGAAUCUGCCUAUUAGUGGGGGACAACAUCUCGAAAGGGAUGCUAAUACCGCAUACGUCCUACGGGAGAAAGCAGGGGAUCACUUGUGACCUUGCGCUAAUAGAUGAGCCUAAGUCGGAUUAGCUAGUUGGUGGGGUAAAGGCCUACCAAGGCGACGAUCUGUAGCGGGUCUGAGAGGAGGAUCAGCAACACUGGGACUGAGCCACGGCCCAGACGGCUACGGGAGGCAGCAGUGGGGAAUAUUGGACAAUGGGGGGAACCCUGAUCCAGCCAUGCCGCGUGUGUGAAGAAGGCCUUAUGGUUGUAAAGCACUUUAAGCGAGGAGGAGGCUCUUUUGGUUAAUACCCAAGAUGAGUGGACGUUACUCGCAGAAUAAGCACCGGCUAACUCUGUGCCAGCAGCCGCCGUAA